UACGUAGGUGGCGAGCGUUGUCCGGAUUUACUGGGCGUAAAGAGCGCGCAGGCGGCUGGUCAAGUCCGAUGUGAAAGCUCCCGGCUUAACUGGGAAAUUGCAUCGGAAACUGAUCGGCUGGAAGGUGGGAGAGGGUAGCGGAAUUCCCGGUGUAGCGGUGAAAUGCGUAGAGAUCGGGAGGAACAUCAGUGGCGAAGGCGGCCUUCUGGACCAGUACUGACGCUGAGGCACGAAAGCGUGGGGAGCAAACAGG
rnacentral:rRNA from 1 species